CGAGUAUGGGUACUAGAAACCAUGUCAAUGCCGUCUAAUGAUGACGAUCUACGUCAACGUACAUUCCAUAAAGGUGAGUACUGGGAAUGGGAAUUUCAUCAAUCACUGAUUCGUAAUACACACUUUUGGUUUGAUUUUCGUUGGUAUGGCAAUCAUCGUUGGUAUGAAGGUACAGUAACUGUUUACAAAGGAAAUGGAUGGUACGACAAAUUCCAUAAAAAAUGCGCAAAUCAUUGUUGGUGGUCUAUUCGUCAAGAUGGAUUUUAUCUGCAGCGUGCUGAUAGACAUGGUCAGUGGGAGAGAAGAGAUACUUGGCAUUGAUUCAGCAGCAUCAUCCGAUUGAUCGAUAAAAUCAUCUAAAUGUUUUUUGGUCAGUGGGAGAGAAGAGGUACUGUGCAAAUGGUUGAUUUUUGAUCAUUAAAUUUUCCAUUGAUGAGGUAACCUGCAAGUGCAGCCCAAAAAAAUUUAAUUUACAUAAGAAUCCCUCAACGGCAUCAAAGAUUAUACUUUUGAAAGGAAAAAGCUAUAUUAGAUUUUGACAUAAAAACAAGAUUAAUGUCUUCCACACCUGUGUGUUUAAUAUCUUUCAGACUUUCAUGUCUUUCUCAUGUUUGUAUAUAUAUAUAAAAGGGGUCAUAAGGCCUUGACAUAUAUAUACACAUUCGUCUUCAAAAAUGGGAACUGGGAACAAUGGCAAUAUGAGUCCGUUGUUUUUUGUAUU